AGAGUUCAAUCUUGGCUCAGGAUGAACACUAGCGGCAAGCAUAACACAUGCAAAUCGGACGGGAAAUGAUGUUUCUAGUGGUGGAAGGGUGAGUAACGAGUAAGAACCUGCCCUUGGGAGGAGAACAACAGCUGGAAACGACUGUUAAUACCCCGUAGGCUGAUGAGCAAAAGGAGGAAUCCACCUGAGGAGAGGGUCGCGUCUGAGUAGCUAGUUGGUGAGGCAAUAGCUUACCAAGGCGAUGAUCAGUAGCUGGUCCGAGAGGAUGAUCAGCCAUACUGGGACUUAGACAUGGCCCAGACUCCUAUGGGAGGCAGCAAUAGGGAAUUUUUUGCAAUGGGUGAAAGCCUGACGGAGCAAUGCCGCGUGGAGGUAGAAAGCUCACGAGUUGUGAACUUCUUUUCUCGGAGAAUAAAUAAUGACGAUAUAUGAGGAAUAAGCAUCAGCUAACUCUAUGCCAGCAGUAGGAGUAAGAUAGAGGAUACAAGUGUUAUUCGGAAUGAUUGGGCGUAAAGCGUCUAUAGGUGGCUUUUCAAUCCGUAGUCAAAACCCAGGGCUCAACCCUGGACAGGUGGUGGAAACUGCCAAACUGGAGUACGGUAGGGGUAGAGGGAAUUUCUGGUGGCGUGGUGACAUGCAUUGAGAUAAAAAAGAAAACCAAUGGCGAAAGCACUCUGCUAGGCCGACAUUGACACUGAAAGACGAAAGCUAGGGGAGCGAAUGGGAUUAGAUACUCCAGUAGCCCUAGUCUUAAAUGAUGGAUACUAUUCGCUGUGCGUAUUGACCCAUGCAGUGCAAUAGCUAAUGUGUUAAGUAUCCCUCCUGGGGAGUAGUUCGCAAUAAUGACAGGGGGCUGCACAAGCGAUGGAACAUGUGGUUUAAUUCGAUGUAAAACGAAGAACCUUACCAAGGCUUGGCAUGUUCAAAAUCCUCUUGAAAGAGAGGGGUGCCUUCGAGAACGCAGAUACAGGUGGUGUAUGGCUGUCGUUAGCUCGUGCCGUAAGGUGUUGGGAUAAGUCCCACAACGAGCGCAACCCUCGUGUUUAGUUGCCACUGUUGAGUUUGGAACCCUAAACAGACGGUCGAUGAUAAGUCGGGGGAAGGUGAGGACGACGUCAAGUCAUCAUGCCCCAUUAUGCCCUAGCGACACACGUGCUACAAUGGCCAGGACAAAGGGUCGUGAUCUCGUGAGGGUGACCUAACCCCAAAAACUUGUCCUUAGAUCGGAUUGCAGGCUGCAACUCACCUGAAUGAAGCCGAAAUUGCUAGUAAUCGCCAAUCAGCCAUACAACGGUGAAUUCGUUUUUGGGAGUUGUACACACCGUCCGUCACACUAUGGGAGCUGCCCAUGCCUGAAGUUGUUACCUUAACCACAAGGAAGGGGAUGCCGAAGGCAGGGCUAGUAACUGGAGUAAAGUCGUAACAAGGUAGCCGUGCCGGAAGGUUUGGUUG
rnacentral:rRNA from 1 species